AGGACGAACGCUGGCGGCGUGCCUAACACAUGCAAGUCGAGCGGAGAUAACGUGCUUCGGCGUGUUAUUCAGCGGCGGACGGGUGAGUAACGCGUGAAGGACCUGCCCCUUACAGAGGGAUAACAUCGAGAAAUCGGUGCUAAUACCGCAUAAGACCACGGUGCUGCAUGGCAUUGAGGUAAAAGGAGAAAUCCGGUAAGGGAUGGCUUCGCGUCCCAUUAGAUAGUAGGCGGGGUAACGGCCCACCUAGUCGACGAUGGGUAGCCGACCUGAGAGGGUGAUCGGCCACACUGGAACUGAGACACGGUCCGGACUCCUACGGGAGGCAGCAGUGGGGAAUAUUGGGCAAUGGGCGAAAAAGCCUUACCCAGCAACGCCGCGUGAGAGAAGAAGGUUUUCGGAUUGUAAGUCUCUGUCCUGGGGGACGAAGAAAGUGACGGUACCCCGGGAGGAAGCCCCGGCUAACUACGUGCCAGCAGCAGC
rnacentral:rRNA from 1 species